rnacentral:misc_RNA from 1 species
GUGAAUCAUCGAAUUUUUGAACGCAAAUUGCACUCUCUUCGGAGAGUAUGCCUGUUUGAGGGUCAGCCUAAAAAAAAAUUGACUUAAUCGCUGUUUCGCGGUGAUAUUUGUCGGAAAUUGGGUCAUCUUAAACUUUUGGGUUUUAAGCGGGUUAAAAUUUUCUUUUCGAUUCCUUGACUGUUUCUAAGAUUUACUUCUUAUCCGUUUAAGGUAUCGAUGUUUAUUAGACGUGGCCGUUGUAUGGGUACUCGCCCAUAAAUAUUUCGUUAAUGGCU